AUUGAACGCUGGCGGCAUGCCUUACACAUGCAAGUCGAACGGUAACAGGUUAAGCUGACGAGUGGCGAACGGGUGAGUCAUACAUCGGAACGUGCCCAGGAGUGGGGGAUAGCCCGGCGAAAGCCGGAUUAAUACUGCAUACGACCUAAGGGGGAAAGGGGGGGAGCGCAAGACCUUUCGCUAUUUGAGCGGCCGAUGUCAGAUUAGCUAGUUGGGGGGGUAAAAGCUCACCAAGGCGACGAUCUGUAGCUGGUCUGAGAGGACGACCAGCCACACUGGGACUGAGACACGGCCCAGACUCCUACGGGAGGCAGCAGUGGGGAAUUUUGGACAAUGGGCGCAAGCCUGAUCCAGCCAUGCCGCGUGCGGGAAGAAGGCCUUCGGGUUGUAAACCGCUUUUGUCAGGGAAGAAAUCCUUUGGGUUAAUACCUCGGGGGGAUGACGGUACCUGAAGAAUAAGCACCGGCUAACUACGUG
rnacentral:rRNA from 1 species